AUCGCUUCUCAGCCUUUUGGCUAAGAUCAAGUGUAGUAUCUGUUCUUAUUAAUUUAAUAUCUGAUAUGUCCUCUAUUCGAGGACAAUAAUUAAAUGGAUUUUUGGAGCUGGAGGUCAGAAGAGGAGCUUGCUCGUCUGAAAAAUUUUAAUAAAAAAAUGCACUGAUAUAUUACAGUUCAUAAAAUACUGAUA